rnacentral:rRNA from 1 species
CCUACGGGAGGCAGCAGUGGGGAAUCUUGCACAAUGGAGGAAACUCUGAUGCAGCGAUGCCGCGUGAGUGAAGAAGGCCUUUGGGUUGUAAAGCUCUUUUGUAGGGGAAGAUAAUGACUGUACCCUAAGAAUAAGGUCCGGCUAACUUCGUGCCAGCAGCCGCGGUAAUACGAAGGGACCUAGCGUAGUUCGGAAUUACUGGGCGUAAAGCGCGCGUAGGCCGUUGAGUUAGUUAAUUGUGAAAUCCCAAAGCUUAACUUUGGAACUGCAAUUAAAACUGCUCGACUAGAGUUUGAUAGAGGAAAGCGGAAUACAUAGUGUAGAGGUGAAAUUCGUAGAUAUUAUGUAGAACACCAGUUGCGAAGGCGGCUUUCUGGAUCAACACUGACGCUGAGGCGCGAAAGUAUGGGUAGCAAAGAGGAUUAGAUACCCUCGUAGUCCAUACCAUAAACGGAUGAUUGCUAGAUGUUAGGUAAGUUUAUUUUACUAGUAUCGCACGACUAACGUACUAUAAGUACAACUACCGUCCGUCGGGUAGGUACGGACCGACCGAACGGUUAAAACCGUUAACGAAAGUAGUAAGUUAAGGUACGGUCGUUGAGUACGUUCGCCGAACGGACGACCGACGAGGGAGGAGG